rnacentral:rRNA from 1 species
AGAGUUUGAUCCUGGCUCAGGACGAACGCUGGCGGCGUGCCUAACACAUGCAAGUCGAGCGAGCAGAUUUCCUUCGGGAAUGAAGCUAGCGGCGGACGGGUGAGUAACACGUGGGCAACCUGCCUCAUAGAGGGGAAUAGCCUCCCGAAAGGGAGAUUAAUACCGCAUAAGUUUGUAGCUUCGCAUGAAGUAGCAAUUAAAGGAGCAAUCCGCUAUGAGAUGGGCCCGCGGCGCAUUAGCUAGUUGGUGAGGUAACGGCUCACCAAGGCGACGACGCGUAGCCGACCUGAGAGGGUGAUCGGCCACAUUGGGACUGAGACACGGCCCAGACUCCUACGGGAGGCAGCAGUGGGGAAUAUUGCACAAUGGGGGAAACCCUGAUGCAGCAACGCCGCGUGAGUGAUGACGGCCUUCGGGUUGUGAAGCUCUGUCUUCAGGGACGAUAAUGACGGUACCUGAGGAGGAAGCCACGGCUAACUACGUGCCAGCAGCCGCGGUAAUGCGUAGGUGGCGAGCGUUGUCCGGAUUUACUGGGCGUAAAGGGAGCGUAGGCGGACUUUUAAGUGAGAUGUGAAAUACCCGGGCUCAACUUGGGUGCUGCAUUUCAAACUGGAAGUCUAGAGUGCAGGAGAGGAGAAUGGAAUUCCUAGUGUAGCGGUGAAAUGCGUAGAGAUUAGGAAGAACACCAGUGGCGAAGGCG